CCUACGGGGGGCAGCAGUGAGGAAUAUUGGUCAAUGGGCGGGAGCCUGAACCAGCCAAGUCGCGUGAGGGAAGACGGUCCUAUGGAUUGUAAACCUCUUUAGGCGGGGAGCAAUGCCGGGCACGUGUGCCCGGAGGGAGAGUACCCGCAGAAUAAGCAUCGGCUAACUCCGUGCCAGCCGCCGCGGUAAUACGGAGGAUGCGAGCGUUAUCCGGAUUUAUUGGGUUUAAAGGGUGCGUAGGCGGAUUUUUAAGUCAGCGGUAAAAUGUCCGGGCUCAACCCGGGCCGGCCGUUGAAACUGGGGAUCUUGAGUGGGCGAGAAGUAUGCGGAAUGCGUGGUGUAGCGGUGAAAUGCAGAGAUAUCACGCAGAACUCCGAUUGCGAAGGCAGCAUACCGGCGCCCGACUGACGCUGAGGCACGAAAGCGUGGGGAUCGAACAGGAUUAGAUACCCGAGUAGUC
rnacentral:rRNA from 1 species